rnacentral:rRNA from 1 species
UACGUAGGGUGCAAGCGUUGUCCGGAAUUAUUGGGCGUAAAGAGCUCGUAGGCGGUUUUGUCGCGUCUGCUGUGAAAACGCGAGGCUCAACCUCGCGCCUGCAGUGGGUACGGGCAGACUAGAGUGCGGUAGGGGAGAUUGGAAUUCCUGGUGUAGCGGUGGAAUGCGCAGAUAUCAGGAGGAACACCGGUGGCGAAGGCGGGUCUCUGGGGCCAUACUGACGUGAGGAGCGAAAGCGUGGGGGAGCG